rnacentral:rRNA from 1 species
ACACAUCUAAGGAAGGCAGCAGGCACGCAAAUUACCCACUCCCGGCACGGGGAGGUAGUGACGAAAAAUAACGAUACGGGACUCAUCCGAGGCCCCGUAAUCGGAAUGGGUUGACUCUAAACCCUUUAACGAGUAUCCAUUGGAGGGCAAGUCUGGUGCCAGCAGCCGCGGUAAUUCCAGCUCCAAUAGCGUAUAUUAAAGUUGCUGCGGNUAAAAAGCUCGUAGUUGGACUUGUGUCCCACGCUGUCGGUUCACCGCUCGUCGGUGUCAACUGGCAUGCAUGUGAGGACGUCCUGCCGGUGGAUGCGGUCGGCCGUGGGCCUCUGGUCUGCGCGUCGGCGGUCCGAUGGAAUCCUACCGCGGUGCUCUUCACCGAGUGUCGAGGUGGGCCGGCAUAUUUACUUUGAACAAAUUAGAGUGCUCAAAGCAGGCAUGGUGCGCCUGAAUACUGGUUGCAUGGAAUAAUGGAAAAGGACCUCGGAUCUGUUGUGCUGGUCUUCUGAUCCCGAGGUAAUGAUUAAAAGGGACAGAUGGGGGCAUUCGUAUUGCGACGUUAGAGGUGAAAUUCUUGGAUCGUUGCAAGACGAACCUAAGCGAAAGCAUUUGCCAAAGAUGUUUUCAUUAAUCAAGAACGAAAGUUAGAGGUUCGAAGGCGAUCAGAUACCGCCCUAGUUCUAACCAUAAACCAUGCCAGCCAGCGAUCCGCCGCAGUACCUGAGAUGACUCGGCGGGCAGCUUCCGGGAAACCAAAGCUUUUGGGUUCCGGGGGAAGUAUGGUUGCAAAGCUGAAACUUAAAGGAAUUGACGGAAGGGCACCACCAGGAGUGGAGCCUGCGGCUUAAUUUGACUCAACACGGGAAACCUCACCAGGCCCGGACAUCGGAAGGAUUGACAGAUUGAGAGCUCUUUCUUAAUUCGGUGGAUGGUGGUGCAUGGCCGUUCUUAGUUGGUGGAACGAUUUGUCUGGUAAUUCCGAUAC